rnacentral:lncRNA from 1 species
GGCUGCGCAUUUUGUCAGUGAGCCAAUCAACCUUACGCCUGGUGUUAACAAAGAUGACACUCUGGGUGAUGGCUAAGGUCUCGUAAAGAUCGCAAAGAGUUUCAAGCUUCCACUCUUCCUUAUCAACAUUGACAUAAAAUUGCUUGAUACCUUCAAGCGUAAGCUCAUCACGCUUCACAAGAAUCCUAACAGGCUUGUUCAUGAACUUCCUAGUAAUUUCAAGGGCUUCUGGCGGCAUAGUGGCAGAGAAAACACCCACUUGAAUCUUUGGUGGCAGCAGUUGAAAAAUAUCAUAAAUCUGGAAAUAAUAAAAUCAAAGACACUGUUUGUGAGCCUUGGGAGCAUAAAUCAGCUUAUAGGUUAGGCCCACAGGAGAUACUAUAGGAAAUAAGGGAAAAAGAACCAGCAAAGUCCUGCAGAGAUUCUAAAAGACAUUAAAGCAUAAUAAGGCUAAUAAUGACAAGAAUAGAACUCCCAUAGAGAAGCUAAUAACACAUAUGCAGAAAUCUUUCCGGAACCUAGCAUACGACUAAGAAAAGAAGCAUAUAAAUACUUACUUUGUCCCCCAACCCCAAAAAAGAAAAUCACAUCCCCAUUUUUGUGCACUACCAAUACAGAAACCUAAUAAAUAAGAAAAAUCCACCUGAAUGACAGAAAAAGAAAUAAAGCAGGAAAUGAAAGGAGAAAACAGUAACCUGAUCCUUGAAACCUCUUGAGAGCAUUUCAUCAGCUUCAUCCAGAACAAACAUCUUGAUGUGGUCAGGGCGAAGAGACUGCCUGCGCAACAUGUCAAAGACACGGCCAGGAGUACCAACCACCACAUGAACACCACUUUGAAGGAUACGCUGAUCCUCACGGACACUGGUACCUCCUACACAAGCAUGAACCUUCACACCGAGAUAAUCACCAAGUGCUCGCAUAACCUUCUCAAUCUGUUGGGCAAGCUCACGGGUUGGAGCCAGAACCAGAGCCUGACAUUCGACUAAGCUGUAAUCGAGCUGCUGGAGAACUCCAGAGCAGAAAGUUGCUGUCUUUCCGGUUCCAGAUUGUGCCUGUUGGAUCACAUCAAGACCCUUGCAAAAUGGAACAAUACCCCUUUGCUGGAUAGCAGAUGGCUUCUCAAAACCUUCAAGCAAAUUAAGCCAGGUGUUAAAUGCCCUGCUAAAUCUAACGAUGGAGAAGGAAAAUCGCAUGUGCUAUUAAGAGGUGCAUUUACCAUAAGCAUAGAUGCCCCUAAGAAGGUUUUCUUGCAAACCCAUGGCAUCAAAACUGUCAUAAACCUCAUCAUAUGAUGUGAAGAACUCCUCCUGCUCAGUCCCAAGCCUGUUUCAGCAUGUCAAAACAUCCAGAAAAUUGAAAAAUUAAAUGAGCAAGCAAAGACAAGGAACACAACAUAGUCGCAAGUGAUAGCUAAAGAAAGGACGAAAAUAAAACGCAAGUGUAGUUUUCUGCAACCAGAUUAAUAUCCUAUUGGUAGAGAAUUGAGAGCAAGCAACUUACAGCUCAGUCAUUUUGGCAUCAUACUGACGAGCAUCAAAUUGAGAACCUUCCGGUGCCAAGCCAGCCAUGACUGUAGAAAAUAAAAGAACUAUGGUAUUACUUUAAUGGAAAUUCAUUAAACAAUCUUGAACUUAAUAAAGAGGAAAAGCCAAAACCUUACUGCUGAAAUAUCACAUUUUCCAAUACUAGCACUAGCGAUAAUAUUAUCUGUUCUUCCUCUCGAAUAUUGAAAGGGGUGGAGGGCACGACAGAAUGUAUGUUUUCUUUCUUUAUGAAGAAGCACAAAGCACAUAAAGAGGAGAUACACAUGAAAAAAGUUGUUUGAACAUACAGACUAAAUUGCAGCCAACUGCCAGCCAACCUUUCCACAUGUAAUAGGUUUCCAACUAUCCAGUUUUUCCAAUGAGCAAAUACAUUCAGAACUGAGAGAACAUCUAAGAAAACACCCAUUACUUAAAAUCAAAUUAAUGAUAGUCUCAUCCCAUAAGUAUCUCAACAUACAAAUCCAAGGUCCAAAUGACCACCAUUCACAUUCCUUUCAAAAUAUAAUCCUUUUGCACAAUACUUUACAAAAAGGUUCUUUAAUCUAAAUACAAGCACUAUGAGAAUGAAAUAGCUGAUGUUACAAACAGAUAAUAAACAAAGACGAUACUUUUACAAUCAAGAAUAUCACAUCAAUCAGAUCUCUAUCCAAAGUAGUCAAAAAAUAUCACACAUACAGAAACAGCUACAUAACCCAAAACCCAGCUGUAGAAACCAAUUCAGACCGACAACCAAUCAUCAAGAUACAAAAACGAAGAUUAUAUCAUAGAAAAAAGGGAGAAAAAAACAUAGCUAACCUGAUAGAGACGAGGAAAAGAUCUGAGGAAUAGCAAACAGAGAGUUGAAAGGAAAAGUGGGUAAAAGCGAUUGGAGAGUUAGGGUUUGCAAAGACUGCUGUUUUUGUCUGAAACUCCUCGGAUCUACGCCGCAGGAGUUCAGAGGAAAAGAGAAUAGAAAGAUUAGACUCUUGCGUUGUGUUAUGUGUUUUUUUUUUAUGGUUUUUUUGUAAUUGUGUUCUUUUAUGGAAUUGUAUUUACUAUUUUCUGUAACAUCUUGUUUUGUCUUUUAUUUUUUGAAAUUCCUAUUUUGACCCGAGAAUGGGGUGGAUUCUACAAAAUUGAGGGCUAGAUUUUUUAUUGGGCUGCUUGGGCCAAAUUUAGGUGAGUUACUUUAUCUAUACUAUAUUAAAAGUAGGAAAACUCUUAUCGAAAUGUCAAUUGCUUUUUUUAUCCUUUAAAACAUAAUUUUACAUCGGAUAAUCUUGUUAUUUAGCGCUUCUCCAAAUAUUUAGGACAUUAAAAUCAAAUAAAAUUUAAUUUAUUAAAUUUUUCCUUAUUUAAAUUAGGCCUUUAAAAUCAAUUAAAAGAUUUUCUUAUUCUAAUAAAAAGAGAAAUAGAAAACUUUAAAAACUUACCUAACGUUAAUUAGGUAAACAUGGAAACUUGAAAAAUUCUAAUUUAUUGCAAUAUAAAUAACGACAAAAUUGAAUAGAGUUUCUUUAGUUAACUAUAAAUUCUAACAAUUUAUGAAGAUUAAAGUGGCAGAUCUCUUAUUUAAUUUAAAUAAGGUUAAAUUGGUUCUCUAAUAUCGGUAAAGCAAUAUCUUCCCAUUGCAAAUAACAAUAGUAAAACAUGUACAAGUUUAGGACUAAAAUUAUAUAUAUAUAUAUAUAUAUAUAUAUAUNNNNNNNNNNNNNNNNNNNNNNNNNNNNNNNNNNNNNNNNNNNNNNNNNNNNNNNNNNNNNNNNNNNNNNNNNNNNNNNNNNNNNNNNNNNNNNNNNNNNNNNNNNNNNNNNNNNNNNNNNNNNNNNNNNNNNNNNNNNNNNNNNNNNNNNNNNNNNNNNNNNNNNNNNNNNNNNNNNNNNNNNNNNNNNNNNNNNNNNNNNNNNNNNNNNNNNNNNNNNNNNNNNNNNNNNNNNNNNNNNNNNNNNNNNNNNNNNNNNNNNNNNNNNNNNNNNNNNNNNNNNNNNNNNNNNNNNNNNNNNNNNNNNNNNNNNNNNNNNNNNNNNNNNNNNNNNNNNNNNNNNNNNNNNNNNNNNNNNNNNNNNNNNNNNNNNNNNNNNNNGGUUUUUAAAAUUAUAUACCACCCACUUUAAAUAUGAUUUUAAGCAUCCAUUGUUUUGAUUAAAUUAUUGUUGUCCUUCUUUAGUUUUAUCAUAUUUCUUAAUUCAUGAAAAUUGAAAUUAUAUGUUAUUCUAUAGAUUAGUGUCAGUAUUUGUCCGUUAUUUUGUACAUAUUUUUUCAAGGUAACAGAAAGAUGGUUCUUGCUACGAAAGAGUGCCCAAUCAAGUGCCAUAAAAAUUUGAUUUUGGUAGCAAAAGAUAUUACCAUCAAAAUCAGUUUGUAUGUUAUACUCACGGGUAAUUUUUUAAAUUUUCAUUUAUCUUUUUGUAUUCUUAAAAGGAGUGAACUUAUUCUACUUAUGUUCUUAUUUUAACUUGACAUUAGUUUCAAGAGUAAUUUUCUUCUCAUUUGGAAAGGUGAAAUUAGAAUCUCAAUGCCAUAAGUUUACUCUCUUUUGGGGAUGGCAGAUAGAAUUGAUAAAAAAUUAGAAGAAAAAAAUUAAAAACUUGUUACUUGCAUGUUUCUUUGUAAAAUUCUAGGUGAGGAUUGUUCAGUCAAUGUGUUUCUAUAUUGAUUUUUUUAAUAAUUUAUUUAUAUUUGGUUUAGACCAAAUCUAAAGUCAGUGGGCAAAUAAGAUUAAAUUGUCAUUACAAUUAAUUUUCUUUUUAUUUUUGAUUGUUUAUACGUGUAUAUUUAUUUUUGAUUUGUUUUACAGUAAUUUGUUUAGGUUUUUCUUAUUUAAUUUAUAAUUUGUUUUAUAAUUUGUCUAGGUUUAGUUUAGAAUGCAUACCAAAGUCAUUGAGGAGUCCAAACCUUGUGGUCAUUAAGAAAUUCGUUAACUUUAAUUUGUUAAAACUGAAAUAACAAUGUAUUAUAUGGAAGCUCACAGAGCAAACUUUAAAUAACAAUAAAUCAUACGAGAAAAGAGAAAUAUAUAAAAAGAGAUACAAUAAUAUGAUUUGGUCACCUCACCUAUAUAUAUAUGAGCAAUUCACGAAAAAAAUAGUAUACAAACCUUUUCCUCCAAAAAAGGAAUAGCCAAAUAAAGAAUAGAUUUAUAUUUUUCUUUUAAGAAAGUAACAAGAGAAUUGUGGCAAAUAUUUGCCCAUGCUUCAAAGGAAAAAUAAAACUUAAAUAUAAUAAAUUAGGUCAGAAGCAACAACAUAACAUAGCAUUAUUUUAUACAAUAAAAUAUGUAUAAUUAUAAUUACUACUAAAUAACUAACUCAUUUCGUACAUGAAGAUUUAGAAAACAUGCAAUUACUUUGAACUCAUCUUGUCUUAACGUAAAGUAUUUAUUUUUUAUUCAAAAAAUUAUUGCAUAUAUCUCAACAUCAAUUGUUAUUUCACAUAAUUCAUUCUUAUUCUAUAUGAUGUAGGACUUUUUAAUAAUAGACGCAAAACACACGUGCAUCGCACGUACACUGAAACUAAUCAUAAUUAAAAGUAAGAAUUAACUUAAAUAGCGUCCACUCAACGGCUUAAAUUAUAAAUAGUUAUCGAGUAAAUAUAUAAUAUAUGUAUAAAAUAAUAUGCAACACCGUAUCCAACACCGCUUGGGCGGGAAAUUGUAAUAAAUAUACAUAUAAAUAAUAUGCAAAAUCAAUCGGAUAUAGAUAGUUUUAUGAGAGUGGUUGGUACAGUAGCUCAAAUUUUAGCCGCAUUUGUUUGUUUUAUAAAUAAAUAGGUAAAAAUCGAGCUUUGGACUUCCCCAUUAUUGUAACCAGUAAGCCGAAGGAGCUCUAAAGGUUAAUUGAGAGGGCAUCUAUCUAAAAAACAAAUGGUCAAGAGUACUCUUAAUACUCGUGUCAAUUGGUUUUUUGGCUCUUUACAAACUUAUUUUUAGUUUUAUGAACCUACUUCCUUUUUUUUCACAUGAUAAAUUUAUUUUUACACGUAAAAGAGCCGUCUUUUACACAUAAGAGAUCUAAAAAGGUCAUUUUCUUAAAUUCAAAAUUGUAAAGGGGCAUGAUGUACAAAUAGCACUCUCCCUCCAAUAGGUGCAUUGCAUAAAGAGCAAACCAUAUUGUCCAAACAACCCCAUAGUGCCAAACUUUCUUCCAUAUGCAGCUAGAUACAGAAUAUAAGCCCAUUUUUGUGAGGAAACAUUGUUACAAACCAAUCUCCUCCAAUACACCUUUUGAAAACCUCCUCUAAACUUCAGAUAUAUAUACCUGUUCUAUAAAGAACUGCUCAAUGUUCAACACAUCACCUUCUAGCCAGCCAGCUUCCCCAUAGUAUUUUCUAGCCUUCAAUAUUUUCUGAACUAGCCAUUAGGCCUGUUUGGGUAGUGCUUCCCAUAUUGUUUUCCAAAGAAAUUGUUAAAGUUUCCUUAAAGUUAGAGCAACUGGUUUCUGUUUCUUAUAUUAUAUGAUUUUCUUUAAUUAUUCUUCUUAGGUCAUAUAUUAUGGUAGGACGAAGACAGAUCCAAAAUUCAAACUGCAGAGCUCAAAAUUUACUAUUUAUAAUAUUUUUCAGAAUUAUUCACACAACACACAAAUAAUACAAGAAGAAAAUGACAGUUCUGAUCCGUCUAUCCUUAGAGAUCUCGGGUUCGAGCCAUGAAAUUGUAAACUCAUAGUAGGGACGCUUUACUCCUUUAGUGGUAUAAAUCCGGAUUAAUCAAGCCAAUGAGUUGUGGAUACUUGAUGGUUAAACCAAAAUAGAAAAUGAUAGGCUCAAUUGGAUGCAUGUUCAAAACUAUAUAAGUCUGCUGGGUAAUUAGGGAAGUCUAAUGGCCUUUUCUUUCCUUUUACAUGCUGGGAUAAUUAUCACACAACGUCCCCGACUCCAGAAACCACAUAGAGGGCAAUGGUUCCAGCAACUUAAUGCGGCAGCUUCUGUAAUUGUGGACGGAUCAGUAAUAAUCCUGGUCCUAUACUUGAGAUUGUACUUGUGAGUACAAAAUAAGUCUCAUUUUUUUUAACCACUAUAGGGUUCGAACCGUGGAAACAGCCUCUUGCAGAAAUGCAGAGUAAGGCUACGUACAAUAGACCCUUGUGGUCCGACCCUUCCCGAACCCCGCGCAUAGCAGGAGCUUAGUGCACCGGGCGGCCCUUUUACUCACUACACAUGUCAUACAAGAGGAGGGAGAGGACAUCCAUUGCACCAAUCCUGAAUUAAUGAUCACAUGGAAGCUAAUAAGUCUCAAAUACAAUAUACGUCAACACAUGCACCAUCUUCCAUUUACAAUGUCUCUCAAAUCAAAAGCAAACUACACAAAAGCACCACAAAGCGUGAAACUAUCACACAGUUCAAAUAAAACAAUUUGCCUCUAAAAGCUUCCUCAUACACAAUAACAAGGUCAAGAGUUAAAUCUCAAUAAAAUUUCAAAGAACAUCCAAAAACUGAAGUUAUUGUAGACUUACAAUACAAAAGGCAAACCGAUAAAAUUGAUAGUAGAUAGUCCAACCAAAGUUGAAGAUUUACAGGUUCCAUGGUGAAUCAUGGCACCUGCAUUUCCCAAUUCUAAACCCGGUAGAAUUCUAACUAACCUAAGAAUAAGAUAUUAAAUUACUUCAUGUAAGGAAGAAUUCACCUCACAUAACCAAAACAACCUCAAAGGAGAUCGGCCACAUUGGCUGGCAACUCCUCGAUGACAACAUUAUAAAACUUCUGAAUGUCAGAAAGCAUCCUUUCAUCAUCCUUUGUGACAAAGUUGAUAGCAACACCCUUCCUUCCAAAACGUCCACUACGACCAAUACGAUGCAGAUAGUUCUCUGGCUGAGUUGGAAGGUCGUAGUUAAUCACAAGGGAAACUUGCUGCACGUCAAUACCACGCGCCAGAAGAUCAGUGGUGAUGAGCACACGAGACGACCCAGAUCGGAACUCUCGCAUAAUGAUAUCUCUAGUAUUCUGGUCCAUGUCUCCGUGAGUUGCAGAUACUGUGUGAUCACGGCUGCGCAUUUUGUCAGUGAGCCAAUCAACCUUACGCCUGGUGUUAACAAAGAUGACACUCUGGGUGAUGGCUAAGGUCUCGUAAAGAUCGCAAAGAGUUUCAAGCUUCCACUCUUCCUUAUCAACAUUGACAUAAAAUUGCUUGAUACCUUCAAGCGUAAGCUCAUCACGCUUUACAAGAAUCCUCACAGGCUUGUUCAUGAACUUCCUAGUAAUU